CUCUGUUCAGAUACCGAAAGACAUUUCUUACUUUAGAAGAGAACGGGAACUGGCACUCCAGAGAACCUUACAGGUGAGUAGGACAGAGGGCUAUUUUAUCCAAGAAUGAGUUCAAUUUUGUUAACAUGUUGGGAACUUUUAGCAGGAAAUGUUUAUUUGUGCCAACAUACAGGCAAUGUUAUUGGCAGUGGGUUCUAGAACAAGACAGCCCAGUAUUCAGCUCCCUGCUGGGUUAGAUAGGUCCACUACGUCCUUGGAGAUGGCUGAUUUUUGUGAUGUUUGGCAUUUUCUGGUUUCUUGACCUGAAAUGUUAAAGACCAGUUAUUUGGGUUUAGGUGGCCACGGCGAAGCCCCUUGUUAUUCAGGCAGAUGUCCUGCAGAGGGAGCUAGAGAGCUGCCUAAGAAGAGAGUACACUCCGGAAAACCUACCUUUGCUUCUACUGCAGCAUUACACAGCGAGAACCGCCCAGCUGGUUCAGAGCAAACGCCUCCACGUGCUCAGAUGGAAGAGGUUUUGCCGGCGCGGUCAGCCCAUGGAGCAGCUUUUUCCGCUUUACAAGGUAGGAAGCUCACGGACAGAACGCUGGGCUGCUCUUCGGAAUGCAGCCAAAUGGCCGAUGAGCUUGUCAGGUGUUUCAGGUCACGGCUGGGGAUGGGCAAGGAACUGAAAUGUGUAUUUUCUUGCUCCUUCUGCCGGUGGUAGAAGAUAAUGCUUCCCUUUUUUUUUUUUUAAGAUUUAUUUAUUUAUUUGAAAGUUAGAGUUACACAUAAAGAGAAGGAGAGGCAGAGAGCGAGAGAAAGGGGUCUUCCAUCUGCUAGUUCACUCCCCAGAUGGCUGCAACGGCUGGAGCUGUGCCGAUCCGAAGCCAGGAGCCAGGAGCUUCCUCCGGGUCUCCCACAUGGGUGCAGGAGCCCAAGCACUUGGGCCAUCCUCCUUUCCCAGGCCACAGCAGAGAGCUGGAUUGGAAGUGGAGCAGCCAGGAUUCGAACCGGCACCCACAUGGGAUGCCGGUACUGCAGGUGAUGGCCCCACCUGCUACGCUGCAGCACCAGCCCUCUGCUUCCUAUUUUUGAAAAAGGCUGACAAGAUAAUGUUUUAUAUGAUGGGAAAUAAUUUUCUUUUUAUAGUCUUGGUCUCCUCUGUGCCAGGGAAAGGGCCCAGAAGCUAAAGCCAGUUCCUAAACCUCCUUGGGCACUGACUCUCUAUUUGGGGUCUCUCUCCUUCCAAGUCCUAAGCGUAGAACCACUGCCCUUGUCAAACUCAGGAGAUGGAGGAACCUUGGGAUCCCAAGAGUCCCUUCUCUGGCCCCCAACAGCAUUCCCCUACUCUUGGAAGCCAGUGAUACAGAGACUAAGGAAGGUGGGCAAACACCAAGCUCUUCCCUUGUAACCCUUUUAAAU
rnacentral:lncRNA from 1 species